GCGCCUCCCGCCAGGGCCGAGGAGGAGAGGACGCGCGGGUCCCCGGAGUCCCCCACUCCGUCUGCCUAAGCCGUGGAGACCGGGAGUGGACGCACGGCGGUGCCUGGACCCCCGGGGAGGAGGAAGAAGAGGAGAGGGAAGGGGGCUGUGGAGUCAGGUGUCGAUUUGACGCCCGCGGCCGCCGAGGGGACUCUGCCCGGGACUGGUGCCGCCUGGGGGGCGUUCAGGGAGCGUGGGGCGCCGACCGCUGCAGAUGCGGCGGCGCGCGUGGGCUCGGGCAGGCGCCCCCUUUUCCCGGGAUAGAAACGGAUAAACGGAAGCGCGUGUGAGUGUGGGGGUGCGAAUCGCCACCUCCGGCCUUGGCUUUCCCGCUCUUCCGAGCUCUCCCACUUCUCACUUUCCCCAAAUCCGCAUUUUCCUUGGCACAGCUCUCCCCGAGCACGAAGGAGAGGGAGGUACCCGGGGGCAGUGAGAAUGACGUGUGCUGGUGCAGAGGGGGUGGGGGGUCUGCGGGCCUGGAUCUGUGGACCGGCUCCUAAUCCUCUUGUUUUCGGAACCGUCAGCAGAUGCGGCUUCCUUUACCUGAAUAAUCCUUUAAAGGAGUAAUAAUUUUUAAAAAGGAGCUCGACCUCAGCCAAAGAGGACGGCGCACGAGAUUAGGGCUUGUAGAUCCACUGCCUUUGGUUGGGCCGGCUGAAUCGCUGGGGACUGCGGCCAGUCUCUUAAAAAGGAGAACAAAAAGCCGAAGACCUUGUGUGGCCGCCGGGACAAAGCACUUUGGGUUCGGCGAGAAGGGACGCGCAGGAGCGCUGAACCCAGAACACGCGUGGCCGCUGCGGAAGGGCGUCCGCCGGGCGUGCGGAACGCUGAGGGGACUCUCGUCCUCUGUCUCGCCCCCUUUUUUUGACCCGGGGAUCCAGCCGCAUUAUACAUGAGUGAUCUUUUAAAUCUACGUCCACCCUUUACCUGCGAGAGGACUGCAGCAGGCGAGUUCCGGAAGGCUGAAUCCCCAGGUCCCAGCCCCGGACCGCGGCAACUCGCCCCUGCGGCACGCCCGGCCCGGCUGCGCCCCCACUCAGCGAUGGAGGUAAAGAGGCGGCGGCCGCGCGCCGUGCCCCGGCUGCCGCUGCCGAGCCCCCGCUGCUCUCCUUGUCCUUCGCUCUCUUCUUCCUCCUCCUAGCCCCCUUCAGUUUCCUGGGCAAAGCAGAGGGCGACAUGGGUGGGUGGGUUUGCUGCGCUGGGGCGAGGUGGGGUCGAUGUUGUUUUUUCAUUGUCUGUAGCUGCAGGGGAGGCGAGGCGCGGGGAAAGGGGCGAGGGGAGCCGGGGUAAUUAACACGGGGGAGGCACCCCUCCGUCUCCCACUUCCACCCACACCCCCAUCCCUCCACCCCCUCCGCUUUGCAGGAAAAAGCCUGGAUGCGAAAGGAUGGGGGAGAACAAAGAGCCUUUGGAAGACGUCGCUGUUAUCUCAUUGUCUGUGUGAUUGGGGGAGCUGCGGCGGGGAGGAUGCUGUGGUCCCUUCCUCCGGCGCUCCCCACCCCCAUCCCUCUCCCCGCUGUCAGUGCGCACGCACACGCGCCGCUUUUUAUUUCUUUUUCCUGGUUUUCUUAUUCCAUCUUCUACCCACCCCUCUUCCUUUCUUUCACCUUUCCUUCCUUCCUUCCUCCUUUCCUUCCUCAGGAGAAAGGCCUCUCUCUCCGUGUUCACAGCGGACCUUGAUUUAAAUGUCCAUACAAUUAAGGCACGCGGUGAAUGCCAAGAAUGGGGCUGGCUGAGCACCGUGGGUCGGCGAGGGCCCGCCAAGGAAGGAGCGACCGACCGAGCCAGGCGCCCUCCGCAGACCUCCGCGCAGCGGCCGCGGGCGCGAGGGGAGGGGUCUGGAGCUCCCUCCGGCUGCCUGUCCCGCACCGGAGCCCGUGGGGUGGGGAGGUGUGCAGCCUGUGACAGACAGGGGCUUAGAGAUGCAAACAGACUCAGGGAGAGAAACAGAAGCUGAUUCUGUGACAGAAGCAGAUCUGUGCAGCACAGACGCGGUGUGCGUGGGGAGGGGGUCGCCUGGGAGCGCAUUGCGGAGUGCUUGUGUGUGCAGAUUUUUCUCUGGGCUCAGGACACAUUGUAUGUGGGUCAACACCUUCCUCCGUGACUGUGUUUUUGUUCUGAGCUGAGUUUUUUGGUUUGCCCUUAAAAAAAUAAUAAUUUGGCAUCCAGAGACUGGCAGACUGCCUCAGGGCCUGGACUGCGGAUAUAUUGUGUUCUGCUUGAGGUUUGGGGAGGAGGGCAGGCGGUAGGAAGGGAGAGGGGGAGCUGUUUGUCACCCUUUGCUGUAGAGCUGAGAGCACCUGACAAGCUUAAGGAAGUCGUUGGGCUAUGUGGACAAGAAGUAGCCAGCUCCCAGCGGGUUCACAAGCUCUGUCGGAGCUGAAAGCGUGGUCAUGGCUCUAAGGAGCACCUCACGCCCUCCCUGUAGCUGUUAUUGCAGUUUCAGGCAGAGAUCCAGGAGCUGCAGAGGAAGGGAGAGGCACAAUAACCUACAUGGACCCAAGGGAGACAUGUGUUCCUUUAAAAAUGUGAACAGAAGGAAAAACAGAAUGUGUGCAACUGGGGGUCUGAGGAAAGACUGUUUUGAAAGAGGCUGUCAGGGAAUGGAAAGGGUUAAGCUUUUCAUCCUGAAGAACCUGCUUCCCAAAUCAGGCCUUCCUCCCAUCACUAGACCCUGAGCAGCAGCUGGUCCUAGAGACCCCCCUCGUACUGCGCUGCCACAAUCUCACCCCAUUUCCAGCUCUGUAUUAACCACCAAGCUGCAGCGGAUGGGGCAAGACCUAAGCUCAUUAAUUUCCAGGUGGAGGAAAUGGAGGAGGGGCAGGUCCCUGCAGUAGAGGGAGGAGCAGAGAAAGGAGGCCAAGAGCUGGAUCCUUCUGCCCAGGAAGCCUGCUGCAUCCCUUCCCCCGAGCAUGGCAGAGGCCUGGCUUUGCAAGGCCAAGGCCAUAAGGGAUGCUUAGGAGAUUAAUUUGAUUCCUGACACAAUAAUCAAGGCCUAAGAGUCUCCGCUGAAGCUUACUGAGGACUUCUUUCCUCUCCAAAGCCUCAAUCUAGCCUGCUAAAUAAAUUAGUAGUAUUCAGUGAUGCCUUGGAUCAGGGCCCCUCCCCGGCCUCAGUUCCCCCAAAUAUUUAUUAAGUACCUACUAUGUGCAAUCCUUGUGUAAUUAUUACCUCUUAGGCUCUUCAUUUGCCCUCCUAAAGCAGUGUUUAGAGUCAGGCAGAGGUUAAGUGUGUUGCACCUCACCUAGAUACUUCCAGAACCUUCUCUGGGUCUGCAGAAUGUGGCACAACCUGCUUGCCCCCGCAGAGACAAAGCUGCAGUGCACAUCCUGCAGACUGCAGGUGCUGGGCUGCCUCUGGAGUCCCAGAAGGCAAGCUUGGCUGCAGGACAGAAAGGGAGAACAGCUUCUCUCACCCCUGAGCCUUCACAAGCCCUUGUCUAUUUGCCGUUGCCUUCAAAAUAUACCUCCCCCGAAACCAGUAGCUUUCUGAGUCCUGGUGUCCCCUCCGCCCUUUCUGGACAGAUUUGGGAAGAAGAAAGCAGUCAGUGCUGGGCCUUAUUGGGGUGUAAAGCGCCUUGCUCUGCCCCUUCUGCUCACUGUGAAGGCCGCUGGAUGCUUCUCUUAGGCAUGGUUUAAGCCUCCGAUUACUAAACCCCUUGCCCCACAAACGUCCACAUUGACGAGCCUCUUUUUAGUAACUGCUUCCCCGUAAUUCCUUCAGAGGUUGCUGUACCCUUCGCUGAUGUGCCCUCCUGUAAAACCUCCAGAUGCCUUCCCACGUAAUGCCCCUUUCAGAUGCUUUAAGCCUAGAGCUUAAACCACAGGUACCAUGGCUGACGCCUGCCAGGUUUCUGCUGCAAAUAAUCUAUGAUGGGAGGGGCAUAUUUUUUACUUCAUUACUUAUGUAAACUCUUGUUCCAGAAAGCUUUAAUGUGUGUGGGAGUGUUCUGGCUCUAUUAGGUCUGUGUGCAUGGGUGUGGGCAUUUGCCUGUGUCCACCGGGUGGGUCUCAUUGUGAAAUGUAUGUUUAUGUAGGGCUUUAAUGGCUGAAAAUGGCAAAGAGAUGAAUAGACCACUUGGCCCCAUGUGUAAUUGCCAGGCCCCUUCUGUGCUCAAAUGAGGUGUCCGAGUGAAGGUCAGCCCUUCCCUUCUGUAUUUGGGGCCUAUUUAUGCCACCAGUAAUUUUACAAGAAAUCUGAAUAGUUCUCCCCUUUGAGUGCAUUUAACUCUUUAGUAUCUUCUCUCUUACCUAUUUGAGCCCCUCUAGCUACAGUCUGGCUUAAAUGAAAGGGGAAUUAUAUGGUUAAGAAAAAGUAGGACACGGUUGAGGCAGUUUGCUGACUGAAUACGCGAAGAAGGACCUGAUGGGCUCAUAUGCACCACUGCCAUCACAGUCCUCAUCGUGAUGCAAGCUUAUAUGAUUCUUGAGGUAACUCUACCAGAUACUUCCAGAUUUAGAAAUGUGUCAGAGGAAAAAUUGGUGAUACUCUUCUUUCCCCUGCCAGAAACAGCCCAGAUCUCCGCUUAAGCGGAAAAGAGAUUGACCUUCUAGCAGAGGCAAAGGUAAACUCCUGUAAGUUACUUCUGUUACCAAAGGGAGGGGGGCGGCUUUUGUGAAUGUAUGAGGAGCUUUUGCCAGAGAGAUAUUCGGAGGAGGGGUGUGCCCAUAUGCACACACACAUUUUCCCGCAUAACCGUAUCCAAUGCUAGCAUUUAGAGGAAGGCAUUUAGCCACCAAAAGUCCAUCCAUCGAUGCUGCUUCCACAGAGAAAACAUUUUCUCUUUCCUCCUCUUGAACUUACAUAAUAUCCUCCUCCCAUUCCAACCUUAGAAUGGAGUCUUCUGGGGGCAGCUGCAAAGCGUUCUCCCUAGGACAGAUGGAGCCUCCCUUUCCUCAUCUACUCUGUGGGUGGUUUCAGGGCCCAUGAGUCAACAUGAGGAGUUGUGCUGGUGGUAUGUGUGUUGGAGGCUGGGCUGGCUGAUUCACAGUGACGAGGAUGUCAAUAACAACAAGUAUGAGAAUGAUGGUACCUAAUAAAGACUUUUUUUCCCAAGUCCCAUCUACAAUUCUUUCAUUGGAUGUUUUGCCAAGUCUUUCUCAAUCUCAUUUCAGCUUUUUUUUUUUUUUUAAAGAAAAUGUAUUCAAUACUUAAUUGCAUCACAAAUGUAGACAUAGAAGAAAGGACUUCAAACGGAAUUUAUGGGAGGCAAUGUGUGCGGCUUUUUGCCUUAUAGAGCUGUGGAGAAGGUCUGGAAUGAUCUUCCAGCACCAAAUUUAGAUGGCCUCAAAAAAAAAAAAAAAAAAAUCAGGCCUUAUUGAGGGCAAGGAAUGUUCCAGGUCAGAAAUAAAAGUGUCAGCAACUCUCAAUAGGUUCAUCUUUUUAUUUCCUGUCCUUCUCCCUUUUGUCUUAAAAUAGAAACGCUACCAAGACCUGAGGGCCUGGGUCAGGGUCCGGGAAGCCCAGAAAACAAACUUCCAGAAUCACUAAGGGCUUUCUCUCUCAAAAUUACAGUGGGAGGGUUCUUUUGAAAUUCAAAUCCAACCUAUUUGUUGCUUAAGCACACACAAAAUACUGAGACCUGGGGUCCAAGAGGCAAUACUUCCGCUGCAAGUGCAUGUUGCAACUUCGCGUGAUGUUCCCAGGGCGGUUCUGCGGCGAGUUGCGGCUCCGCGACUGUGGGCGCGGGCCCCAUUUCGGGCCCGGUCGGCCGGGACCGCGCCCAGGGCUUCUCAGUGACUCGCUUCCCAGCACGCAAGAGGCAUUCUCGUCUCUUUCUCUUCGAAUGCACCCGAGACUUCUCCAUGGAGCAAGGAGAAGAUGAGCAGGCGCUGGUUUCCCUUUUCUUUUUUGCUCGCAUUUCCCAGUCUUGAUUUUUUUUUUUUCCUUUCUCUCUCUCUCCCGAAUCAUGCAGACCUGGAACUCCUGAGAUUCGGGUCCUCCUGCAGUUCCCAAAGCUUUGGAUCCAUCCGAGUUGUGGGUAGACGCGGGUUAGUCUCAGGGUCUUUCUAGGAUGAGCCCCAAGCCCAAGUUCUAAGGCGAGGGGGAGGCGAAGAGGUCAGGGCGACAAACGCCAGGGACUGUCCCCGGAGAGGUCAUUUUUCCAUUUUCCAUGCACAUCGAUUUCACUCUAGCUGCCAGAUGGACACUCGACGGUCAACGUUAGAGAUUUUUACGGAGUCGGGGGCAGGAAGCGGGACGAAUUGAGACGAGGGUACAUCCUUUGCUUCCAAGGGUGGCCGAGCCAGACCGAAGGCCUGGGCGGGAGGUCACGUCCUCCCCUGGCCACCCACAGCGCUCCCCAGCCGCAGGCCUGGGCCUAGAAGCCGCGCCCUCCCGGCCGUGCAGCCGGUGAGCCUGUGCGCCCGGCGCCCGCAGUGCGGCUCCGGGCCUCUCUCUGAUCCACUUCAGUACCUGCGGCCUCGAGGACCCCACCCUGCAUCCCGGGAAGCCUCAGAACUUGCAAGAAAGAGGGGCUGGCAGGUGCAGCCUGGGAAGAGGACCCCGCCGCGAAAGCGCUUGGGGGUUGGGUUUUAUUUGCUGGAGUGGGGGGUCCGUCUCAGUGCAUCCUCCUGGAUUCCCCAUUAGGACGCCCCGCCCAUACAUCCAGCCUCCUCUCCCGCAUACCCCCAGUGACCCGGCCAGGGAGCGGGCAUCUUCCCCCAGGACCCAGAGACGUGUCCUCGCCAUCCCCAAACACCGUCCUUCCCCACCCCCGCAACCCUCUCCACAGAAGCCAAAACCACAACAAAAAUCUUCAACCCACAAAGAAAAAGACACAUUCCUCCUUCGGCCUGAGUCAGCGUUAGUUCCAGAUCCGAAGCCGGAGGGGACGGAGCCGCUCGAAGUCGGUUGGAAGGAAGGCGCAGAAGGCUCUUUCUGUCUCCAUGAAUCUGCUUGCAAAUGCAACCGCUGCUGCCAUUAGGACGCGGUCUCUGUUUGCAAAAAAACUCAAUUCCUUCCAUUUCCUCAUCUGUUGGGUCCAUCAGCGUGCAGUGAGUGAUGCAAGGUCCCUUUGGGUCAACAGGCCGUCCCCUGAAAUAACUUUCAGAGCCCUGGCCUCAAGGUCAUGGGCCGGGUGGCCUCUACAGGCCACAGGUCAGGACCAGGAUGUGCCUGACUGAGGCUGUGCCACCGAGAGCUUCGGACGUGCGGGAAGGUGCCCUGAGCUGCACGGGGGGCUUCUGUCAGCCCCCUCCCACUCUACACAGAUUGAUGUGGCAAUAUUUAUUCCCAUUUAAUUGAGACACUGGUUUAAUUUCAGAUUGCUUCGGCUUAAGGCCCAAUGGGGUUUUCUGCAGCUCUUUUCCCCAGUGCCUCUACAGAAAUUAAUUGCUGUUAAUAUCCAAUUUUGGCUUUAUUAUUCGUUAGCCAAUUAUGUAUCCCAUAGCCCAGGCCCCUUGCUGCUCUCAGCCUCUGCUGGAAUCAGCUCACACUAUGCCGGGCUUCUGCUUUUCUGCCUUCCCCUGUAUUCAAACUCUGUCCUCCCAAGAUGAUUUACCGGCCCGUCAGGCAUUUUGCUUGUGUCCCAGCGCUAGCUGAGCUGGGGGAGGUGUCUUUAAGACGUUUUCCCCUUUUUGAGGGAAAUGUCUUCUUUGCAGUGGAAAUAAUUUCCAUUUAAAAAGGAAUCUAAGCUUCUCCACUAUCCCAAGACUUGCUUUCUCUGGAGCCAUUUUUGGAGAGCAGUUUUCCAUCAAAAGCAAGCAAGGUGCCCCGGCCUCAGGGCUCCCCUCCCCACCUCCCUAGGAGCCCCUCCGAGACUGUCUUAAAGCCACCACAUAGACAUAACACCAUAGAUUCAAACAGGGUGCUUGGAGGAUGUCAUUCCACAUUUCAAGGAGGGAAACUUGAAAAAGCACUAUUUUCAGAGAUGAGGAGGGUAGCCCUCCUCCCCCACAGAGGCCCUGGAAACCAUUCCAGCCUUGCACUGCGCAACCCUGCUUGAUGGAGCUGAUGCAACUGGGGGCAAGAGCCUUUAAAAAGUGUUCUUUUGCCUUGGUUUUUUGUGCCUUGAGUUCACUAAUAGAAGCAAACACUUCCCAUCACUGGUGCUCUGGAAACAGAAACAUACAAGUGAGAAUCCUAACGACAGCAGAGGCCCUUCUUUGUCUGCUUCCUCUCCUUCCCCCCUUGGAAAGAAUGCCUCCCAUGCCUUAAUGUGCCCUCACACUUAUCUCUAGCAGUUCCGUAACAACCUGCGCAGUGUCGGCAUCAGAACCGAAUGCAGAGAAAACAAUACGUCAGAGCUGCUGGCUUGGACUGCGGCCCCUACAGAUGAAGCCCGAGCCUUCUACUCCUACCUCAGCAUCUUGCCGCCUUCAUGUGGACAAUUAAUCAACAGCAACAGCAUAGUGUGAAGUAGAGAUAGAGUCUUGCUAUGUUCCCCAGGCUGCUCUGGAAUUCCUGGGCUCAAGCAAUCCUCCUGACUUGGCCUCCGAAAGUGCUGGGAUUACAGGUAAGAGCCACCAUGCCCAGACUCCAGUGCAGUUUUGACAAAUGAGGUGGAGUCAGCAGCCCAUUACCCACUGAAUAAAGCCUAGCUCUCCUAAGUCCUGCACUGGGUGGUGCGCUGCUCACCUGAAUGCCCAGUGAUUGUCCUGUGCCUCCCCACCACCUGGUUUAUUUGCUUAAAUCCUCAAACCUCCCUCCUUGGUUGGGUUGCUGAAACCCUUCCUACACCUUUCCUGCCUCCGAUUCCUGAGAGCUACAUUUAACCUCCACAAGGCUCCUAUUCCAAAUCGGAGGAAGCACUGAAAACAAAGCACUUUCGCAUCCUUCACCCUGAUCUGUAGCAUAUUAUUCAGAACUCUUAUGAUUUCAAGUGACAGAAACCCAAGCUGAACCAGCUGAAACACUCAGAGGUAUUUAGUAUCUCAUGGAACCCAGUGCCCCAGGGACAGGCAGAAACGCUGACUUGAACAUCUCUUUCUGAGUUUCUCAUCUCAGCGCCUCUCUGCAGAUGUUGAAAUCUUCUUUUUUUCUGCUAACUGGCCUCUGCUUCCCAGGUUCACAGCAAGAAACAUGGCCAUUGGGAUGUCCCAAGCUUUGCAUUUUAUAGCCCAGCUUAGGUCAGGUGGCCACCCCUGUGCCAGUCAACUUGACCGAAUGGAUGGAAAACCUCAACUGAUCAAGCUGGAGUUAAGUGCAUGCAGGGAGCACCUAUGGUAACUGUGGAUGGCAGGGAGGGCAGCCACCUAGAAAAAGGUACUGCUGGCCAGGUAAGACUACAGGUAUCCACAACUACCACCAAUCUGCUGUGAACAGUUCCUCUGAAGUUGUGCAAUAAGCAAGCCGUGUGAUGCUGGUCCUGGUAGAAUAUCUUAUUUCUAAACUCCAAACCAUCAGAUUGGCCUCUACCUCCCCAUUUGCCCUCCUCAGAAGAUCUUGACACCCAAGUUCACCCGAUCCUCUGGAGUCCUGUGGUUUGAAAUACUGACCAUUUGUCCCAAUCCUGGAGCCAAGGUCCCAGCAUGCUCUGUGUCCAAGUUCAGAUUACCACAAAAGCUGGUUGCGAAGACCACAAGUUGUUACCGAUUUGUUUUUUAACCAGUUGUAUAUACAACAUUUGGUGCUUUUCACAACACCACACUACCUCUGUCUUACUGUACUGUUUCUCUCCCUAGCAAGCUACCAACAUUUCCUCUCUCCUCUCUAAAACAUGAAAAAAAGGAGAGAGAGAGAGAGAGAGAGAGAGAGAUAUGCAGGUAAUGCCUAUACUCUCAUCUCCUAUGGGGUCCUUGAGACAAUGGAUUCCAAAGAGCAGUUUGGAACAUGAAGAAAACCCCAACGGGGAGGUCCUGCUCCCAAGUCUCACUAAUUCUGGAUUUAAUUCUCCCCUGUGGGCCAGGUGUUGAAUUAGUGGCCCUCCCACCCUACCUUCUGUUUUCUAUGAUCUCGUCUCAUCUAAUAAAGGCUCCAGAUCUGAAAGUCUCUGAGACCAGAACCUUAAUCCAAUUAAAGCCUGGUAAAGCAAACAAACUUGGGAAAGACAAAGAGGUGAAGAGGUUAACAGCAGACAAAACCUCCACUGACAAGCUAAAUUAGCCUUGCCCACCUCAGGAGAAGGUGUAAGGUGGACAGCGGGGACUGCUGGUAGUGAUUAACAUUUGCUCGAAAUUCUAAGGAGCUAAUUUUUUUUCCAAGUUAAAUGUUAACCUGUGAAAAGAGGAACAGUAACUAUGUGAAGAGGAAUGUGAAGAAGAAAACAGAAAGACCAGCCUGCUGGGUGGAUGUCUUCCUCCCAAAGUAGUCGAGACCAGGGAUACUGAGGAACAGUUUUCCAUUUAUCCUUCAUCAUGUCCAUUCAACAGGGCCACUGAGCUCCAGAUGAGCAUGGAAAGAUGGAGGAGCUGCCAAACCUGACUUUGGAGGCCCUGGUCAGGAGCCCGAUGGAGGUCUUCCAGUUUUACACCCUUUGUGAAUUUGUCGGUGGGGUGGGUUUGUUCUGAUGCCAUGAGUAGCUUCCACUGGAAAAGGCACCAUCUCCACCCAACAUUUUAGGUAUGCUGGUGCUUUGGGAGGACAUUCUUGGUGCAAAUAAUCGUCUGAACAUUCUUUGCUAUCCUUUGGUAGAGGCUUUAUUUACCACAAUGAAGAGUAGAAAGAUUAUGAUGUGAGUGUGUUUUGGUGUGUGUGUGUGUGUAUGUGUGUGACUAUUAGUGAAAACUGCUAGUAAUAUGUCAGUGUGGAGAGAAAUUCAGUCCUCCCACAAGUGGUGAGGCCCAAUAUUAAGGGACAGAACAUCAGUGAGCACCACAUUAAGGCACUAUUCUCGACAUCUGGGAAGAAGCAAAGAAAAAUGUGUCAUGCCUCUUACCUUUUAGGGACUUAUAAUACAGGAAAGAGAAGACUUGUAUAAAUGGCUAAAAAUAUACUGAGGAGUAUAACUAAUAACUAAUGCAGAGUGUGCUGGUAAAAGGUUGUGUGGGUUCAGGAAUGUCAAAAGUUGCAGCUGCUGUGAAAGCCAAUAUGGCGGGUCCUCAAAAAAUUAAAUGUAGAAUUACCAUAUGACUCGGCAACUCCACUUCCGGGUAUGUUCUUAAAACGAUUGAAAGCAGAGACUCAGACAGAUAAUUGCACACCCAUGUUCACAGCAGCAUUAUUCACAAUCGCCAAAAUGUGGAAGCAACCCAAGUGUCCACUGGCCAAUGAAUGAAUGAGUAAAACAUGCUAUGUAUCAACAGUAGAAUAUUAUCCAACCUUAAAAGGAAACAAAUUCUGGUACGUGUUACAACAUAGAUGUACCUUGAGUGGAAGAAGAAAAAAGAAAGAGCAGUCCACUGGGUGUAUGUCUUCUUCCCAAAGUAGUUGGGAUCAGGAAUGCUGAGAAACAAUUCCCCAUUCACCCUUCAACAUCUCCAUUCAACAGGGCCACUGAGCUCCAGGAUGAGUAUGGAAGGAUGGAGGAGCUGCCAAGCUUGACCUUGGGGACCCAGGUCAGGAGCCUUCUGGAGACCUUCCAGUUUUAUGCCCUUCGUGAAUUUGUUUGUGCGAUGAACUCUAUGAAGUGAACUAAACCAAUCACACACAAAAAAUAAAACUGUAUGAUUCCACUUAUAUGAGGCACCUAGUCAAAUUCAGAGACAGAAAUAAAAAUGGGGGUUGAUAGGAGGGGGGAGGAUGGAAGAGUGGGAAGUUACUGUCAAUGGGAACAGAUUUUCAGUUUUGCCAAAGAGUUCUGGGAAUGAAUGGGGUAAUGACUGCACAACACUGUGAAGGUACUUAAUGCCCCUGAACCACAUACUUAAAAAAUGAUUAAGAUGGUAAAUUUUAUGUAAGUGUAUUUUACCACAUUUUUUUUUCAAAUUCAUGUAGUUUCAGAUGAGACUUUAUAGAAAUGUGGCAUUGAGCUGCCUGAAAGAACAGAUGAAUUUCAGUAUAUAAAGAAGAGGAAGAAGGACAUUAGAGACCAGGGGAAGGACACGAAAGGAUCAAAGGCAGUGAAGUAUCUAUCCAUGGGUACCCACAGUGAGUGGUUUAAGUUUCCUGGAACAAAGGGUUCCAGAAGGAAAACAAGGUCAGCCAGCCAUUGAAACCCAGACAAUGGCGAGCCUUGAAGGCUAGACUAGGGAGUUUGGAUUUUAUUCUCUAAGUCACCACAUCCACCGUUUCCAUAGUGUUCCACAGGACACUAAUUCUAUGAGAUGCUCUGAAAAAAGCGGAGGAAGGGAGCCAUGGACAAACAGGUCUCAGAAAGGCUGCAUAGCCCUAUGGCCAAUUUGCCAUGCACACUAGCUUACAUUGGUAAAUCCUGACGUAAAGAUAUCUGCCUCAUUUUGCUAAAGUCAGUGUUGCCCAAACUUGUUGGAUUAUGCUGCCCUGGGAUUCUCGUGACACCUAUUAACAUCCUCCAAAAGCAUUCCACAUGUUUAGGGAAACGUCUCCCUAGGAAAGGCAGCUAUUGGAGCUUUUUAGCAGAGGCAUUUACAUGGUCAGAGUGCUGCUUUAGGAAGGCUAAUCAGAUGGCGGAUUGCUGCUUGGUUUGAGGGGGAUAGAGACAAAUGACUAGAACGGUGGAUAUGUCAUUAAGGACUGGCGCAUGUCAGAUUUCUAGUGUCCGAAACACCGAAGAGACAUGUCAAGCACCGAGAAGACACCCUGUUACUGAGAUCAAAUGCUGGCAAUCAGCAGACUCCUCCGCCUUCCCCAGAUUUUGACUCACCCUACCCUGAAGCACAUAGGAUCCACCAUGGGUUCACGCCCCUCCGUGUCUCUCAGCCCCCAGAGGCACAUGAAGUGGUGCGUUGGAGUGACUGGUGCCAGCUCAUGGAAGCCGCUACCUGGGAGUUUCCCAACAACCAUUAGUAGAAGACUGCCAUGGUGGGGCCACCUAUACCGUGGAAAUCAGCCAAUGCUACAAAUGAGAGCUUUUGUUUGAGGGGGAUCCAUUUACCAGCACACCACUGACCAGGUGCCAAGUCGGGAUCAAAUGUGUAAAGGUUAUAUUAGAGAAAGCACUUGUGUGAGGAAAAAAAAAUGGGAAGGGAGGUAAGAUAGGCUGCGAUGGCGUGUCCAACAGCAAACCAGGGAAGGGAAGAGAGAGGAGAGAGGGAAAGGAGGUGGCGUGGACGUGUCCCAGACUGCAUGCCCUCUAAGGAAGGGUCAGCGAGUCCUCCAGCCAGCCAAAGUCAGCUAUCCGUGGAUGUCUUCCAGGAACCGGCGUUAGAUCCUUGCAGCAAUCAGCCACUCACAGGGAGCUGCCCGCGGGGAGGGCAGCCCAGGGCACACACAGCCAUGGAUGUCUGCGCGCAGCCGCCUGGGCCCUUGAUUUGUUGACGCUUCUCGUUGAUGAUGGUCCGUGAGACGCAUGCUCAUUACCACCACCGCCCACCCCUUGCCCCACACAGAUCUGUUUCUCCAACCAGGAAAGUUCAGAAAGCAGCUCCUCCAAGGUUCCCAGGGGCCUUUCUUCCUGAGCGAUAAACCACAGCCCCCGUGACGGCCGAGGGUCUUGGAGCAUCCCUAACCCCUCCUCCGCCCGGCAUUUAAAUUCCCCUCACCCUCAGCUAUCAGGUCAGCAGGUGUCGGUAGCUUACCUGAUGGGAUGACCCUCAUUCCUGAAGGGUCUAAAUUAGAAUCAUACCCUGCUCAGUCUGGAGUGACUGCACCUGCGUAUUCACAGUUACAAGUGGGUGAGGGAGCCGCAGGAGGCACCUGAGCCCAGCCCCUGGGUUCUGCCCUUGUUCCUCCCCGCCCCCACUAGGUAAAAGAGCGCCUGCCUCCUGCUGCUGAUUAGGUCAAUAACGCAUGCCAAUAAGAUGAUUUCUCUUUUAACCUGCUGAUCCUUGCGAACGAGGCAUCCUGCGUGUCCAGGCAGCAGCUUCGACUUGCGGUUCAACAAGACCCUUACCGUGUCUCCUGGCCAGAGCGUGUCCUCUUUUGGAUCCGGACCUCCAACCCUGCGUAACCCAGAGUCGCAGAGCAGGAAGCCCCAAAUCCCCCAGUGGGUCUUAGAGACUGGUGCUCUUCUUACUUGCUUAUUCUGAUGAAGCACACUGCCUUGUUAUGAACUGCCCUAUGGAGAAGCCCAUGUACAAGAAACUGAAACCAGCCUGGCAUGAUGGCUUAUUCCUGUACUCCCAGCACUUUUGGCAGCUGAGGUGAGCAGACUGCUUGAGUCCAAGAGUUCAAGACCAGCCUGGGUGACAUGGUGAAACCCCAUCUCUACAAAAACUACAAAAAUCAGCUGGGUGUGGUGGUUUGCACCUGUAGUCCCAACUACUCAGAAGGCUGAGGUGGGAAGAUUGCUUGAGCCUGGGAGGCAGAGGUUGCAGUGAGCUGACAUUGUACCAUUGUACUCCAGCCUGGGUGACAGAGUGAGACCCUGAAAAAAAAAAAAAGAAGGAAAGAAAGAAAAGAGAAGAGAAGAGAAACUGAAACCCUCAACUGAACAGUCCAUAAGGAAAUGAGGCCUGCUCGUAGCCACAGGAGUAAGCAUUAAAAUGAAUCCUACUCCCAGUCAAGCCUUCAGGUGAGACCACAGCCCCAACUGACACCUUGAUUGCAGCCACGUAAAAGGCUCUGAGACAGGAGACCCAGGUAAGC